AUUGAACGCUGGCGGCAGGCCUAACACAUGCAAGUCGAACGAGUGGCGGACGGGUGAGUAAUGUCUGGGAAACUGCCCGAUGGAGGGGGAUAAAUACUGGAAACGGUAGCUAAUACCGCAUACCAUCGGAUGUGCCACGAGGGGAUUAGCUAGUAGGGGGGGUAACGGCUCACCUAGGCGACGAACCCUAGCUGGGCUGAGAGGAUGAACAGCCACACUGGAACUGAGACACGGUCCAGACUCCUACGGGAGGCAGCAGUGGGGAAUAUUGCACAAUGGGCGCAAGCCUGAUGCAGCCAUGCCGCGUGUACGAAGAAGGCCUUCGGGUUGUAAAGUACUUUCAGCGAGGAGGCGUUACUCGCAGAAGAAGCACCGGCUAACUCCGUGCCAGCAGCCGCGGUAAUAC
rnacentral:rRNA from 1 species